CCUCGGGAGCUGCAGUGGGGAAUAUUGGACAAUGGGCGAAAGCCUGAUCCAGCCAUGCCGCGUGUGUGAAGAAGGCCUUCGGGUUGUAAAGCACUUUCAGUGGGGAAGAAAGCCUUGGGGCUAAUACCCUCGAGGAAGGACAUCACCCACAGAAGAAGCACCGGCUAACUCCGUGCCAGCAGCCGCGGUAAUACGGAGGGUGCGAGCGUUAAUCGGAAUUACUGGGCGUAAAGCGCGCGUAGGCGGUCUGAUAAGCCGGUUGUGAAAGCCCCGGGCUCAACCUGGGAACGGCAUCCGGAACUGUCAGGCUAGAGUGCGGGAGAGGAAGGUAGAAUUCCCGGUGUAGCGGUGAAAUGCGUAGAGAUCGGGAGGAAUACCAGUGGCGAAGGCGGCCUUCUGGACUGACACUGACGCUGAGGUGCGAAAGCGUGGGUAGCAAACAGGAUUAGAUACCCCAGUAGUC
rnacentral:rRNA from 1 species